GACGAACGCUGGCGGCGUGCUUAACACAUGCAAGUCGAACGGAAAGGCCCUGCUUUUGUGGGGUGCUCGAGUGGCGAACGGGUGAGUAACACGUGAGUAACCUGCCCUUGACUUUGGGAUAACUUCAGGAAACUGGGGCUAAUACCGGAUAGGAGCUCCUGCUGCAUGGUGGGGGUUGGAAAGUUCCGGCGGUUGGGGAUGGACUCGCGGCUUAUCAGCUUGUUGGUGGGGUAGUGGCUUACCAAGGCUUUGACGGGUAGCCGGCCUGAGAGGGUGACCGGCCACAUUGGGACUGAGAUACGGCCCAGACUCCUACGGGAGGCAGCAGUGGGGAAUAUUGCACAAUGGGCGGAAGCCUGAUGCAGCAACGCCGCGUGCGGGAUGACGGCCUUCGGGUUGUAAACCGCUUUCGCCUGUGACGAAGCGUGAGUGACGGUAAUGGGUAAAGAAGCACCGGCUAACUACGUGCCAGCAGCCGCGGUGAUACGUAGGGUGCGAGCGUUGUCCGGAUUUAUUGGGCGUAAAGGGCUCGUAGGUGGUUGAUCGCGUCGGAAGUGUAAUCUUGGGGCUUAACCCUGAGCGUGCUUUCGAUACGGGUUGACUUGAGGAAGGUAGGGGAGAAUGGAAUUCCUGGUGGAGCGGUGGAAUGCGCAGAUAUCAGGAGGAACACCAGUGGCGAAGGCGGUUCUCUGGGCCUUUCCUGACGCUGAGGAGCGAAAGCGUGGGGAGCGAACAGGCUUAGAUACCCUGGUAGUCCACGCUGUAAACGGUGGGUACUAGGUGUGGGGUCCAUUCCACGGGUUCCGUGCCGUAGCUAACGCUUUAAGUACCCCGCCUGGGGAGUACGGCCGCAAGGCUAAAACUCAAAGGAAUUGACGGGGCCCCGCACAAGCGGCGGAGCAUGCGGAUUAAUUCGAUGCAACGCGUAGAACCUUACCUGGGUUUGACAUGGAUCGGGAGUGCUCAGAGAUGGGUGUGCCUCUUUUGGGGUCGGUUCACAGGUGGUGCAUGGCUGUCGUCAGCUCGUGUCGUGAGAUGUUGGGUUAAGUCCCGCAACGAGCGCAACCCUUGUUCACUGUUGCCAGCACGUUAUGGUGGGGACUCAGUGGAGACCGCCGGGGUCAACUCGGAGGAAGGUGGGGAUGACGUCAAGUCAUCAUGCCCCUUAUGUCCAGGGCUUCACGCAUGCUACAAUGGCUGGUACAGAGAGUGGCGAGCCUGUGAGGGUGAGCGAAUCUCGGAAAGCCGGUCUCAGUUCGGAUUGGGGUCUGCAACUCGACCUCAUGAAGUCGGAGUCGCUAGUAAUCGCAGAUCAGCAACGCUGCGGUGAAUACGUUCCCGGGGC
rnacentral:rRNA from 1 species